UGUGAAAGAAGAAACAUGUUGCCUACACUGGAAAAAAAAUUCAUGGAGAAAAUAAGGUGAAAAAUUAUGUUUCAAUCUGCAUUUGGACUUUGCUCCUUUUGUGGUGGUGGACUUCUUUUUUAUCCUCAUGAGUCCCUUAGAAUUUUCCUGGAUUGUUGCCUUGUUAAUAAUAGUUGGCAUUCACAAUUAAUCAUCAUACAUUAUUGUUAUUACUGUGUACAAUGUUCUUCUGGUUCUACUCACUUCACUUUGCCUCAUUUCAUAUAAAAUUUUCCAGGCUUUUUUGUGAUCACCUUGUUAUUUCUUCAUUUCUUAGGACACAAUAGUAUUCCAUAUAAGUGUAUACCAGAGCUUGUUCAGCUCUUCCUCAAUUGAUGAAUAUUCCUUCAGUUUCCAAUUCUUUGCCAUCACAAAAAGAGCUGCUAUGAAUACUUUUGUACAGAUGAGGAAAAUGAGAUUUACAGACAUUAAGAGACUUGCCCAGUCAUACACACAUGGAGUGGAAGAGCUGAGACUUCAACCAAGGAACCUGGAAAGAGUCAUAGAAUGUUACAGCUGGGAGGGUUCUAGGAGACCAUCUACUUCAACUCUCAUUUUACAGAUAAAGAAACUGAGUCCCAUAGAGGGGAAGUGACUUGUCCAAGAUCACUCAGCUCCUGAAUCUGAAUUUGCACAUCAUCCAAGUUUUCCUUUUCCAGAUGUUGUGCUUUCCACACCACAAUACAGCCUCCAGGGGACCAAGAGAGGAAGACUGGGGAGAAAAGGAAAGUGAAGGAAGACCAACUUGAAUUGUUUGGAUACCACCCCCCUCCCUUGCUGCUCCCUACUAUGCCCACAAGGACAGGAGUAUUCCUGGGGAGCCAGAAUACCUGACAGUGUUUAGGACCUCAAGUGCCUUUGAGUUGUGCCCCCCCUCAUUUCACCUGCCUGCACUCACAUUUUGCAUUAUGAACCUGCAGAAGUGAAGGAUAAACAAGAGGUGUGUGUAUAUAUGCUUGGUUGGUCACUCCUACUUUAGGAUCCAGUGCCAAGGCUAUGUACUCUAGGGUUUCUACCGACAGUGUGACUUUGGCGUCUGUCCCUUGUCUGUGGGGUGCUUGAUUUCCUAUCCUCCCAGUCUCCUUUCAAUUUGAUUUCCACCCUUCCCCCACGCUUUUUGGCUCUUGGUCUUAAUCCAUUCGAAUCUUCAAGAACCUUCAGGAAUACUGGGGAGGGGGGCGACCUCUGCCUGUC
rnacentral:lncRNA from 1 species